CUGACCAGCUGUGUUUGUGUUUUGAUUCUCUCGCCUUUAACGGGUGCGUAAGCGUGUUCGCUGGCCAGGCUUCAAAGUUUUAACGAUUUCAACAGAAAACAAGAGCGUAAGAUCAUCUUUAAAUGAUGGACGUCCCACCAACGAUGCAAGCAGCGAACUAUUACGAGAGUAAGAGAGCAGCGAAAGAGCUGAGGAAGCUAGAAAAAAAGGAGAGGAAGAAGGACAAGACGAAAUGCUGGACCUUAAAGGAGAAAAUUGACUUGCAGGUUGACGUCGCACGAAUGUCUGUGCAUGAUGAACAGUUGGCCGAACUUCGCCGGAUUAUGUCCUCAGACAGAAGGUGUCCUGUCAAGGCUGACUGUAUCGACAUAAUUGACCUAAGCGACUUGACGCUCAACCGGCUGCGACAUUAUGUCGAAUCCCA